ACACUCCUACGGGAGGCAGCAGUGGGGAAUAUUGGACAAUGGGCGCAAGCCUGAUCCAGCCAUGCCGCGUGAGUGAUGAAGGCCCUAGGGUUGUAAAGCUCUUUCACCGGAGAAGAUAAUGACGGUAUCCGGAGAAGAAGCCCCGGCUAACUUCGUGCCAGCAGCCGCGGUAAUACGAAGGGGGCUAGCGUUGUUCGGAAUUACUGGGCGUAAAGCGCACGUAGGCGGAUCGAUCAGUCAGGGGUGAAAUCCCAGGGCUCAACCCUGGAACUGCCUUUGAUACUGUCGAUCUGGAGUAUGGAAGAGGUGAGUGGAAUUCCGAGUGUAGAGGUGAAAUUCGUAGAUAUUCGGAGGAACACCAGUGGCGAAGGCGGCUCACUGGUCCAUUACUGACGCUGAGGUGCGAAAGCGUGGGGAGCAAACAGGAUUAGAAACCCCAGUAGUCCCAUG
rnacentral:rRNA from 1 species